AGAAAAAGAACUAAGGUGGGCCGGUUAGCUCAGUUGGUUAGAGCGUGGUGCUAAUAACGCCAAGGUCGCGGGUUCGAUCCCCGUACGGGCCAGUUUUAUGGUGUUUCGGUAUUUUUCUUUUCAGUUUAGGGUUUCUUUUGUCAGACACCACGUCCCGUGCCUGGUGCCAAGCAGGAACGCGGCGGCGGACGGGGUGAAGUAGGAUGCUACUCAGCCCCCGGGCGGCCCUCUGGCCGCGCCCCGUGCGCAGCGACCCCCUCAGCGCCGCUCGGCCCGUCCCCGCUAAGGCGCCCGCGGGCAGUGAGGGAAGUAGGAAGUGGGAAAAAAUAUGAAGAACCGGGGAGGCGGGCAAAACACUCCUGCCGUGACUCGGAUUCGAACCGAGGUUGCUGCGGCCACAACGCAGAGUACUGACCACUAUACGAUCACGGCCGCUCAGCGCCCGGCGCCACACGCCGCACACACUCGUUUUACCGCCGCGCUCCUCCACGCCUGCCGCCGGCGGGGAGGCUGCGAGCUAGGGCCCCGGCGGCGAAAAGGAGGACGGCGACGACAUCGUCGCAUGCAAAAUAUAAGACGACUCCUCCCCGUCGGGGAAUCGAACCCCGGUCUCCCGCGUGACAGGCGGGGAUACUCACCACUAUACUAACGAGGAGCGAACUACACGGUUUUUGUGCCAGCGACAGCCCAGAGUGCAGAAGGAGCGGGAAAGUGUCUGAGUUCAGAAGCGCAUCAUAAAAAUCUAUUGAAGGAAGAUGUGGCUCAGGGAUUUCUGAAAAUGCUCUUGUCCUUGAAAGGUGUUGUUAGUGGCAAACGAGAAGAUGCCUGAACUCUGAUUAGCACUUGUACUAAGCAAAGGCUUUGCAGAAGCAAAGGGCUUGGAAUUUGGUGAUGUCCCCCUCCUCUACAACUUUUUUGCUGACUCCCAGGAAGGAUCCAUUCAUGCUGUGAAGUGAGUUGUUUAUGCUGAUGAAAACAAGGAAAGCCCAAUCACCGCAGCAAUGAAAUCAAAAGGUAGGACUGUGCUAUACCACCAGGCCAGGAACACAUCUAGUGUUGGCAGUGGGAUGAAGCUGUAUGGUGAGAAUGGGACUGCCUUCAUGGUUAACGGGUACCAGGCAAAGGUCAGUUUUCCUAGUGGACAGAGGUCACCAAUGAAGUUUAUGAAAUUCCUAAUAGAGCCUGUGCUACUCAGCAUAUCCAAAAGCACCCUAAAAAUGGGAGUAAACUGUAAAUGUCAGAGUUUGCUGAUAUUGCAAGAUUAAGCAAGAUAGGUUGAAACCUAAAAAGGAAAUUGAAAAGAGUUACUAUUGAGCCAAGCAACUGAGCAGUGGAACAGCAGGUGAAAUUCACUGUUGAUUGAUCUGAAGUGAUGCACUCAGAAAAAGUUACAUACACACUGAGAGGUCAAGUUAACUUUCAUUGCCCAGAAAAGAUCCUGGCAUCGUAACAGUUCCAUGGAAAAGCCAGCUCAAUGCGUAGCAGCAGUCAAAACAAGCAAACAGCAUAUUAGGAUUAUGAAAGGAAUAAUCAACUGAAACAUUAUUAUGCUGCUGUAGCACAUCUGCAUCUUGGAUACACAUAUGUAGCUUACGUUGUCUGUUCCUUAUCCCCAGUUCAGAAAGGGCAUGGAAAAUUUAAGCCCAGAGAAACUGGCAAAUGUGAUCAAAGGUAUGGAACAGCUACUGUACAAAGAUUAGAAAGGGCAGGACUUGUCAGCCUGGAAAACUGACAAUUAAAAAACCAGAAGCCUGUAAAAUAAGAACUGUUAGGAAGAAAAUGAACAGGAAGAAAAUCUGGUUACUCACUGGAAAGUCAAAUGAGGUCAUCAGGUGCAAGUAGAAAACAAAGAGGCACUUUUUCAUACAACACCCAGUUAAGCUGGAACUCCAUACCACAGGCUUGUCAGGACUGCCAGAGGCUCACAUGGUUUAGAAAAAAGGUACUAAACAAAACCCCGUGGAGCGAGGUGGGGAAAUCUAUCAAGUAGUACUAAGCACAAAAAACAUACCACUUUUUUUUUUUCUUCUUUUUUUCCAGAAAUGUCUAAGUCACACAUGACUGGCAACUGAAUGAGUAUAGCAGACCAGAGAAGUAUCUGCAUGUAUUUGGCCAGUUCUUGUAUCAGGCACAAACUAACCACUGUUGAGAGACUGGGCACCAGGACAGACCUUUGAUUUAAUCUUAUAUAAAGUAUUCUAAUAGGAACAGUGCCUACUUGCAACUCCACGUAACUAUGC